UACGAAGGGGGCGAGCGUUGUUCGGAAUUACUGGGCGUAAAGGGCGCGUAGGCGGCCGAGCAAGUUAGAUGUGAAAGUCCUGGGCUUAACCUGGGGACUGCAUUUGAUACUGCUUGGCUUGAAUUCGGGAGAGGAUAGCGGAAUUCCCAGUGUAGAGGUGAAAUUCGUAGAUAUUGGGAAGAACACCGGUGGCGAAGGCGGGUCUCUGGGCAGUAACUGACGCUGAGGAGCGAAAGCGUGGGGAGCGAACAGG
rnacentral:rRNA from 1 species